UUACGGACAUAUCACGUUGAAGCACUGGUUCUCGUGCGAUCCCCAAAGUUAAGCAACAUCGAACUUGGUCAGUACCGAGAUGGGUGAACAUCCUGGAU